rnacentral:rRNA from 1 species
UACAGAGGUGGCAAGCGUUGUUCGGAAUUACUGGGCGUAAAGGGCGCGUAGGCGGUCUUCUAAGUCAGACGUGAAAUCCCUCGGCUCAACCGAGGAACUGCGUCUGAUACUGGAAGGCUUGAAUCCGGGAGAGGGAUGUGGAAUUCCAGGUGUAGCGGUGAAAUGCGUAGAUAUCUGGAGGAACACCGGUGGCGAAGGCGGCAUCCUGGACCGGUAUUGACGCUGAGGCGCGAAAGCUAGGGGAGCAAACGGG